AUACGAAGGGCCCAAGCGUUAAUCGGAAUCACUGGGCUUAAAGCGUACGUAGGCGGACUCGCAGGCACCUUGUGAAAUCCCUCGGCUCAACCGAGGAACUGCUUGGUGAACCGCGCGUCUUGAGGCAAGUAGGGGCUGUCGGAACGAUAGGUGGAGCGGUGAAAUGCGUUGAUAUCUAUCGGAACGCCGAAGGCGAAGGCAGACAGCUGGGCUUGUUCUGACGCUGAGGUACGAAAGCGUGGGGAGCGAACGGGAUUAGAAACCCGGGUAGUCC
rnacentral:rRNA from 1 species